rnacentral:rRNA from 1 species
UACGUAGGAGGCGAGCGUUGUCCGGAGUUACUGGGCGUAAAGGGUGCGCAGGCGGCGGUUCGCGUGGCGAGAUGAAUCUCCUGGCUUACCUGGGAGGAUGGUCGCCAGACGGGAUCGCUUGAGGGUCGGAGAGGGGCGUGGAAUUCCGGGGUGGAGCGGUGAAAUGCGUAGAUAUCAGGAGGAACACCUGCGGUGUAGACGGCUUUCGUGGACCAUUGCUGACGCUGAGACAGAAAGCGUGGGUAGCAAACAGG